rnacentral:rRNA from 1 species
AACGAACGCUGGCGGCAUGCCUAACACAUGCAAGUCGAACGGGAUCCUAGCUUGCUAGGUGAGAGUGGCGGACGGGUGAGUAACACGUGGGAAUCUGCCUUUUGGUUCGGGAUAACCGCGGGAAACUGCGGCUAAUACCGAAUGCCCUCGAGAGAGGAAAGAUUUAUCGCCAGAAGAGGAGCCCGCGUCCGAUUAGGUAGUUGGUGGGGUAAAGGCCUACCAAGCCGACGAUCGGUAGCUGGUCUGAGAGGAUGAUCAGCCACACUGGGACUGAGAUACGGCCCAGACUCCUACGGGAGGCAGCAGUGGGGAAUAUUGGACAAUGGGGCAACCCUGAUCCAGCAAUGCCGCGUGAGUGAUGAAGGCCUUAGGGUUGUAAAGCUCUUUUGCCAGGGAGAUGAUGACUGUACCUGGAGAAUAAGCCCCGGCUAACUUCGUGCCAGCAGCCGCGGUAAU